rnacentral:rRNA from 1 species
CUACGGGCUGCACCAGUGGGGAAUAUUGCACAAUGGGCGCAAGCCUGAUGCAGCCAUGCCGCGUGUAUGAAGAAGGCCUUCGGGUUGUAAAGUACUUUCAGCGGGGAGGAAGGGAGUAAAGUUAAUACCUUUGCUCAUUGACGUUACCCGCAGAAGAAGCACCGGCUAACUCCGUGCCAGCAGCCGCGGUAAUACGGAGGGUGCAAGCGUUAAUCGGCAUUACUGGGCGUAAAGCGCACGCAGGCGGUUUGUUAAGUCAGGUGUGAAAUCCCCGGGCUCAACCUGGGAACUGCAUCUGAUACUGGCAAGCUUGAGUCUCGUAGAGGGGGGUAGAAUUCCAGGUGUAGCGGUGAAAUGCGUAGAGAUCUGGAGGAAUACCGGUGGCGAAGGCGGCCCCCUGGACGAAGACUGACGCUCAGGUGCGAAAGCGUGGGGAGCAAACAGGAUUAGAUACCCGUGUAGUC